GCGCUUGUAGCUCAAUGGAUAGAGCAACAGCCUUCUAAGCUGUGGGUUGCAGGUUCGAGUCCUGCCAGGCGCACCA
rnacentral:tRNA from 1 species